GGCCCCGUCGUCUAGUGGCCCAGGACGCCGCCCUCUCAAGGCGGUAGCGCCGGUUCGAAUCCGGUCGGGGCUAC
rnacentral:tRNA from 6 species